rnacentral:rRNA from 1 species
UACAGAGGGUGCAAGCGUUAAUCGGAAUUACUGGGCGUAAAGCGUGCGUAGACGGUUGCAUAAGUCAGAUGUGAAAGCCCCGGGCUCAACCUGGGAAUUGCAUUUGAGACUGUGUAGCUAGGGUGCGGAAGAGGGAAGCGGAAUUUCCGGUGUAGCGGUGAAAUGCGUAGAUAUCGGAAGGAACACCAGUGGCGAAAGCGGCUUCCUGGUCCAGCACCGACGUUCAGGCACGAAAGCGUGGGGAGCAAACAGG